UAGGAUGCUGGCGUAAUGGUUGUAAGCGACCCGUCUUGUAACACGGACCAAGGAGUCUAACAUCUAUGCGAGUGUUCGGGUGUCAAACCCCUGCGCGUAAUGAAAGUGAACGGAGGUGGGAACCGCAAGGUGCACCAUCGACCGAUCCUGAUGUCUUCGGAUGGAUUUGAGUAAGAGCAUAGCUGUUGGGACCCGAAAGAUGGUGAACUAUGCCUGAAUAGGGUGAAGCCAGAGGAAACUCUGGUGGAGGCCCGUAGCGAUACUGACGUGCAAAUCGUUCGUCGAA
rnacentral:rRNA from 1 species